rnacentral:rRNA from 1 species
ACCUGCCCACUGAAAAUUUUAAAUGGCUGCAGUAAUUUGACUGUACAAAGGUAGCAUAAUCAUUAGUUUUUUAAUUAAAAGCUUGUAUGAAAGGUUGGACGAAGUAAAAUCUGUCUCUUUUUAAUAUAAUUAGAAUUUAAUUUUUAAGUAAAAAAGCUUAAAUUUUUAUAAAAGACGAGAAGACCCUAUAGAGUUUAAUAAUUUUAAUAAAAUAUUUAAUCAAGAUUUAUUAAUUUUAUUUAAUUAAAAUUAUUUUAUUGGGGUAAUAAAAAGAUUAAAAAAAUUCUUUUUUUUUAAUACAUUAAUUUAUGAAUAUAUGAUCCAUUUGUAGUGAUUAAAAGAUUAAAUUACCUUAGGGAUAACAGCGUAAUUUUUUUAAAGAGUUCUUAUCGAUAAAAAAGUUUGCGACCUCGAUGUUGGAUUAAAGAUUAAUUUAGGUGUAGAAGUUUAAAUUUUUGGUCUGUUCGACCAUUAAAUCUUUACAUGAUCUGAGUUCAAACCGGUGUAAGCCAGGUUGGUUUCUAUCUUUAUUAAUUUUUUAUAUUUUAGUACGAAAGGACCAAAUAUAAAAUAUAUAAAUAUUUUUAUUUUGAAUAUUAUUAAAUUAGUUAUUUUGGCAGAUUAGUGUAAUGAAUUUAGAAUUCAUUUAUGUAAAUAUUUUACAAAUAAUACUUGUUUAUAAAAGAUAUAAUUAUUUCUUUUAUUUUAAUUAUUUUAUUAAUUAUUUGUGUUUUAGUAGGUGUAGCUUUUUUAACUUUAU